rnacentral:lncRNA from 1 species
GCACAUAAACCACCCAAUUUAAAUUAGUCACAACGUGUGCCACGCCGUUUAGGAAAAAAAUUGGAAACAGAAUUUGGGAUACAUGGCAUUACUCUUUUAUUUUAAAAUUAUACAUUGUUACCAUAAAAUAUGAUACAUAUGAGUCCACAAAAUUCGGGUUCUCUAAAUAUUACUGGUCAUAUUUUAGGAAGUACUCGUUAUAUCUAGAGCAAUGUUAAGGACUCCCAAAUUUGUUCCUAGAUUUUCCUUAUUUUAAUUGUAUUUAUGUUAAUUUUAAUCACCAAAAUAUUCUUAAGGACUCCCAAAUCUGUUCCUAGAUUUUCCUUAUUUUAAUUGUAUUUAUGUUUUUUUUGAGUAAAAUUGUAUUGAUGUUAAUUUUAAUCACCAAAAUAUUCUUAUACAAAAAAUCCCCAAAAUAUUAAAUCGAUCUUCUCUAAUUCAUUCUUGCACAUUACUUGCCGCGCCUACCGAACUAACUAAACAACAGAAAAUAAAUAUAUCCACAAACACAAUCGUUAAUUGACCGGUUUAAUCUUGUUGAGAACUUAAUUUACGAAACAAUAAACAAUAAUGUUGUGUAGCUUCACUUCGAAUCCAUCAAUAGUUGCAAUAAAUGUAACAAGCAGCAGAAAAUGUAGAGGAAACGUAUAGCAAUAAAUUCAUCCAGCAACAGUAUAUAAUCUGUGUGUGGGAGAGGGAGAGAGAGGGCGGGGAGAGAGAGUGGUAGAGAGAGGGAGGGAGGAGAGAGAGAGAGAGAGAGAGAGAGAGAGAGGGAGGGAGGUGGAGAGAGAGAGAGAGAGAGGACCGAGUUUGACGACGCAACGAAUCUGUUUAACAGUUAUCGCUGUUUCUGUUCUGUUGGGCUCCGACUCCAUCGUUUCUGUACUAAGCUCUGUCUGAAUCUGUGUUUUUUGACCAAAGUAUACUAGUUGCACUUCCACUCCCGGUUCGGUCCGAAAAAAAUUAAAACUUCGGUCCUCGGUCUAUUCGGUUCGGUCCGGUUUUGGACCGGACCGACCGAAUGCUCACCCCUACCCUUUUACAUGUCCAUUUUGCUUUUCGAGAAGUCAAAUUGACCAAUUUUUGACUAAACAUUACGAGUUAUCUACCCAAUAUUUCUAAAAUCUGAAAGUUGCGUAUUAAAAUAGACUCAAUAUACUAUCUAAUGAUAUAAUUUUAAUUAUUUUUCUCAAUUAUCUGAUAUACGUAAAGUCCUGUCAAAAUAAAGUCAAUUUGACUGAUCAAAAGUCAAAAUGGACAUGUAAAAGGGGACGGAGGGAGUAUAAACUUAAAGUACUCCCUCUGUUUCAAAAUGUAUGACGUUUUGACUUUUUGCACGUACUUCAAAAUCAUUUGACCAUGUACUUAUGUUUAUUAUUUUUAAAAUUUUAUUUUUUUAAAUAAAAGUAUAUAGUCAAAAUUUUAAAGUAUAAAUUUUUUUAAAAGAAGUGAUGAUUCUAGAUGCUUGGUCAAAGCAAGUUGAAAUGUGUGUAAAAAAUCAAAACGUCGUACAUUUUGAAACGGAAGGAGUAGUAUUUAUCUCUGUUAAAAUGUACUUGGAUAAAAUCUCCAACCACAAAUUUUAACUACUUUGACCGUUUGGCGCAUUACAUAGCAAGUCAUGUUUAGUUUAAAAAAAAUCACUUUUAAGUUUUAAAAACCCUGUUAAAAAUAAAAUAAUAGCUAUACACAAAAAACCGUCUGAUAUGAAAAAACCGAGAAAAUAUGAGUAUGCAUCUAAUUUAUAAAACCCAAAAUUGGGCAAACAAUAAUAAUUUGCUGAUAUACAAAAGUAACAAAACUAACAACACUGUCCAGGAAUAUACAGGUUCUGUGUUGUAAUCCUGGCAGAGAAGAAGCUAUACAGCCAAAUUCAUUCAGACCAUUACAGAUAAUUACAUGUGUUUUGAUGAUAAUUAAAGAGCUCGACAAAAUUAGAUCUCUUCAUUCUCUGAUGAAAGCAACCAUGACAUGUAAUUAGGGCCUUGAUCUGGAAGAGAAUCAGAUCCGACUGAUGGUGGAACCACCCUCUUCCUUGUGAAGGUCUCUACAGAUGGGCAUACCCUUUUCCGUCCACCCCUUGGGCGAGAUCGAAACUGCUCAUCAGUCUCCAAAAAAUCACCCUGAACAACAAAACAGUAAAUAAGCACCGGUACAUGCAACCAUUUCCCCCGCUUUUGCAAUGAAAGCUUAUUCAAAUAACAAAAGCGAUACAACAGCAAAACUUACUUGAACAUAAAGAUGGCAUCCAGAUUUCUCGUGAUUGUCUCUCACAUGUUUAAAUGUAAAACUCAUGCCACAACCAGGAAUGCUACAAAGGAAGGCUUUUUGUUCAAAAUGUACAGCCUUCAUGUGUUGACGGAGGUUUGAUUUCUGCAUUUUGAUUAACAAUUAAAAUUUAUUUUGGGGAAUUUCUAAACUAAAUUUGAGCUUAAAACUAAUCUUUAAAUUUUCUUCCAAUUCCACACAUGGACUCAACUUUUACAUGGGUAAUUUAUCAAUCAUUCAACAAUCAAGAAAUAUAGUGAUUCCUCGCAUGCUAAGAAGUCUUACAUUUGAGAAGGUGUGCAGGCAAUCUUCAAAGCUGCAUUUUAUCCUAUCAGAUGGAGGCUUGGUUUUGUGAGUAAGGAGGUGACGUUUUAGGUUCUUCUUCAGAUGCUUUGAUCCACAAACCUCGCAGGUAACUUUGCUGUGACAAGACUGAAUAUGAGCCUUCAAACAUUGCUCAUUUGAAAAAUAUUUCAUACAGCCAGGAUCAGAACAGAAUGCUUCUGUCGACUCUAACUUAACUGCAAACAUAAUGGGUCCUUUGUUAGCACAACAUUCGGAAAAAAUGAGACAUUACAACAAAACACCAAACUGCAAAAUGCUGACAAAACAAACACAAAAUUUGAUUCAAGUACAAAAGAUCUAUGACAUUAUAGAAAGACUAUACAAAAGGCUAGCAAAUAUGCAAUUACCAUGUGAAUCUUCAUGCUUCCUCAACCGUGAGGCAUAUUUAAAAACCUUUCCGCACCCAGGUUCAGGACAUGUGUAUUCUUUCAGAGCAUCAACUUCGAUAGGGGAAGAAUCAUCAUGAAAUACCUUAACAUGCUUCUUCAUGUUACUUUGACUUGAAAAUUUCUGGCAGCAGCCUGUGACAGAACAUUCGAAAAGUUCCCCUUGGUCCUGCAGAUGGCGAUUCAGGAGGUCCUUCCUUCUGUAACUGGAACUGCAGAGAGCAUCAACUUCGAUAGGGGAAGAAUCAUUAUGAAAUUCCUUUACAUGCCUCUUCAUGUUACUUUGAAUGGAAAAUCUGUGACUGCAGCCCAUGGAAGAACAUUCAAAAAGUUUCCCUUGGUGCUGCAAAAGGUGGCGAUUCAGGUGGUCCUUCCUUCUGUAACUGGAAUCGCAGUCGUCUACUGGACACAUAAAUGGUCUCUGCAAGCAAGUUGUAACACAUCACUGAAAGAAUUCAGGUAUCUAAAUACUUGAACAUCACACUACUACAGAAACAAAAACCUUUCAAACCUCGAGCUGAUACCGCGUGUGCUGAGGCUCCCCUGAUGGAGCUUCUCAGGAGGUCCCCCUACCUGAUACUAUUCCAAUCAAGGUAAAUGUUGAAGCCCCUCACAUUUGAACUCCAGAGGGAUCCAAUGCUUCACGCAACAUUUUAAUUUAACUAACUUACUCGGAGCAACUUAGAACCCUGCAAGAUGUAAUCCUUUAAACUAACAAUCAUGUAAAAAGAAAAGAAAUAGGGAAGUCUAGUCCAUCCUAGGACUUGCAGUUCAAACAACAUAUGCAACGCAAGCACCAUAUAUGUUGGUAAACUCUAGUUUGACGAGAAUCUGAGCAACUGAAGGAAAGGGAAUUUCAAAAGAGAAAGGUCUGUUUGUUGUGCUCAGUUUCAUCAGAGGAUGGACUUUUGACAUCAGUACUUGACAAAAACGCACAAGCAACAAAAAAGAUUAUAGCAGUUCUGUAAUGAAUUAGGCUUUUAAAGAGAGUUAUAUGCAUAUUAUUAUACCAACUGACAUUCAAAAUCGAGCUGGUACUGUAUGUUGAAUAUAUACGGAGGUACUAAGUCUUACCUCAAGUAAAUGGCUUUGCAUGUGUUGUUUCAAGUGAGCAGGCUUCUGGAAACUCAGACCACAUUCCUCACAAGUAUUAGACUUCAAUUCCUCUUUCUCAGCAUUAUCAUCUGCCUUUCUUUUAUUCACUUCAUCCUAAUUAAAAAAAAAUUCAAUACGAAUAUAAGAUGAUCAGCGCAUAAGUAUGUUAAUAGUGAAAUUAGUUCCAAUGCAUUAAUAGAUACCAGUUAAUAUCUAGUUCUUAAAGAGAUUAAAAAUAAAUGAUGUGUCAAAUAUAUUUGAUAAUAAAGAAUACAAGGUAUGAGCUCAUGGAUGCAAUUUUUUAAGUCUAAACAUGACAAAUAUUCCAGAUAUUCCAGUCACGCAAAAUUAAAACACUUGAUAACUCGAAGAUAUGGAUAUAGAGAUAGAAUACCUGGUGAUGAGAUAAUAUAUGUGAGGAUAAGAGAGUCUUCUUAGACCGACAAAUACCACAAUAUUCACAGUAGUAUCGUCUGAUAUCUUUGAAUACUGGCCCUUUUGUAAUAUCAGUACCUCCUUCCUCCAUCACUGAACGAAUGAAAAUCAAUCAGAUAUGUUAAGCAAAUGCAAUAUGAUUCAACAAACAAUUGGAAAAACAUAUAACAGAACAGAAAUGAUCAUUUCGUCAAUUAAAUUUACAGUUCCACUUCCACACCAAUACAAACUCAACUUUUUCUAGGGCUCUAUGCGAUGGAAAAUGAACAAUAUCCUCCUUACAUUCAGAAUGACUGCUAUCAGGCGGGUAAUCAUACAAUUUCGGGCUAAAUAUUAAUAUUCUUCAUUCUUUACUUCUCUCCAUACAAAAAAUUAAAGCUCAAUCCCACCAAUUUGUAUACUCAUUUCCUCUUUAUCCUCAUAAACCUCACAAAUUCCGCAAAAAGUACGAUGUAAUUAGCUAAACUAUUAUAAAUACAAUACCAACUAUCAUUUAAAUAUUAUCAUUCUUCACAACCUCUACGUAAGAACAAUUCCUAUUUCUCGUUUCCUUAAUUCUCUUUCGAUAAUUCUCUACAAACUAUCCAACUCCUAUCAAGUCAAACUUUCCGCAUACAUUCUAGUGCAAAACUCAAUUUACACAAGCUCGAAAGUGACGCAUUACAGCUCCAAAUCAAGAUCAAAUGGCUCAAAUUCACCAUAUAGCAAAUUACAACGUUCAAUUACAAAAGCAUUCAAUUUUUACCACGGUUAAAAAUAUGCAUAAUCAUGAUAUUUCAUUUGAACAUCGAAUUUAAAGCAUGUAUAGCGAUAUUAAAUCAUUUAUUUUGACAAACAACAAAUGAAAUUCAAAUGAAAUAACAACUCGAUACAUGAAAAUCAAAUUGAUUGCUGCAGAUGUAGAUAGAGAACUUACGUGUUGAUAUGAAAAUUGAUAUGUAGAGAGAGCGAGAGAGCGAGAGAGCGAGAGAGAUAAUUGAGUGAUUGAGAGAGAGAGAGAGAGAGAGAGCGCGCGCGGCGAUUUUGUGUGUUUGAGCUCAGCUAACCCUAAACAACAAUUUAGGGGGAGAUGAUUGAUACGGGCUGGGCUGGAAUGGGCCGGGCAUAUUAGCUGAGUGUUCGUAUAUAAAAUUGCACUGUUGUAGGCCUAAUGUUAUUCUGGACUCGAAUUCAUAUCCACCAGUCUAGAGUCUCUAGAGUCUAGAAACACAUUAGUUGACGAUAUCUGACACGAUCUGAGACCCGACACGAAUCCGAUCCAAUCUGAACCCCGAUUUACUGAGAUAGAAAUUUGAAAGUGACCGAAAAUCACCCGAUUGAUCGAAAUGGACCCGAAAUUAGAAUUUCAUUUCUAUUAACUUCAAUUUUAUUCAAUUUGAGUGAUGUUAGCUUAAACCGAAAUUGAUCCGAUUGCUGACACGAACAAGACCUGUUACCCGAAAUUGUCACCCCUAAUUACACAUGCCAUACAAUAGCAGUAAAAUCGCCGUGUCUUAGAGCUGUUUUAAAUUUGAAGUUGAAAUUUUUUUAUUUAUAUCAUAAAUUAGAAAUUAUGAUAGAAAAUAUAUACAAUAUAUCUGGUACAUAUCUUACCUGAGCACAAAAUAAAGUUACAAUAGAAAAUAUAUACAAUACACCUGGUACUUAUCUUUUAAAAUUUUAUUGAUAUCAUCAUUUACCUAAUCUUAUUUUAGGAUUUUCUCGAAUGUGAUAUAUUUUCAGAGAGUACAGUCAACAGUGACGAAAAAUAAUAAUCUCAAAAGGAGGAGUAUACUGCAAAACAUGGGCAUAAUUGGGUAGCAAUUUUGGAUAAUGAGUCAUAUUUGUCAGCAAUUGGAUCGAUUUCGGAUCAAGUUGAAAUCAAUUGAAAUUGAAUAAAACUGAAAAUUUAAAAAUUAUUUAAAAUAAAAUAUAAUUUCAGGGUUGAUUUUCGAAUAGUUUCAAAUUUUAUCUCAGUUAAUCAGUUAUGGAUUGGUCGGAUUUAAUAUUGACGCCCGUUAAACAUCAGAAGCCGGAGCUUGUUGACUUUUUGGACAUGGAUUUACAACUUACUGGGUGUGAAAAAUGUUUUUGGCGUAUUAGGUAUGAUCACUCCUCGAUUCUACUAUUAUACGAACAAACAAGAAAAAUAUUCAAAAAUUUUACAUUCCUCGAGAGAAUAAGCGGUCAGGGAACAAAUUUUAUAUACCCUUGGUUUUAUUAUCUUGUAUCGAGAUAUUUAAUUUAACAAGUUAAAAUAGAAUUAAGAUCGAUUAGUUAUUACUUUCUUUGUCCCAUUUAAUUAUACUAGCUUAUAGCCCGUGCAAGGCACGGGAGCUUUUUAAUUAUUUAUAAAUUUUUUAAAUACAUUUUAAGUGGUGUGAAAAAAUUGAAUAUAUAAAUAGAAAAUUAAAAUUUUUCAAUAAAACAAAAUUUGAAAUAAUGAUUUGUUUGUAAGUUAAAACUAUUGUAAAUACACCAUCACAGCCAUUGCUGACUUCAAAUAAACUAUUGCAAGCAAGCCAUUCCUUUUCUCGUAUGUAUAAUGUCAAUGUAUUAAAUUCUUUCUAUCAAAUUUUAAUAUAUUUUGAGUAGAACAUGUGACGACAAUUUUUAUUAGAUUAUAUUUAUAAACAUAUUUUAUAUUAGAAUUAUUAUAAUGUGAUUUAAAUAUUUUUCAAAAAAUUUAUAUGGUUCUAAAUUAAAAUUGUUAAACAUAAUUUGUUUUGAAUUAAGAAAAGAAAUCAUAAACAUGCAAUAAGAAGGUGGAAUAUGUUUUGGAUUAAGAAAAAGUUUUUGUAUACGUUCCUCACAUAAAUCCGGCUUAUUAAUUUUAAUAUUGUGCAUAAUAUUAUUUUUAUUUAGUAUUUUGUUUAAAUAAUAUAUGAGAUCAAAAUAAUUUUGUGACGGUGCGAUUUAUACGAUUCUACAACUAAAAUUGGUAGAAAACAUUUAUUUUGGAUUAAAAAAAUCAAAAACACGUGAAAGACAGAAUUUGUUUUGAAUUCAGAAAAGGAAUUAUAAACAUGCAAGUAGAAAUCAGUUGUCUUUUAGAACAGAAUUUAGUUUUGUUCUAAUCUAACGGUGCUUAUUUGUUCAAUAUAUGAUCCAACGGAUGAUAAACUUUUGGACCCUAGGACCAUGCGACCAAAUUAUCUCCCUUACGCUUAUUAUAUAUAAGUAUAUAAUAUGUUCACUAUUUGACACGCACUUUAAUGUUUUUAUGAAAUAUAGUUCUACAACUUGUUUUUAAAUUUUUUCCUGAAUUAAAUUUUAACAGUUACUUUUUUAUUCAGGAAGAAAUUUAUAAAAUUAUACAUCAGAAAUUUUCAGCCAUUCUACUGUAUAAUAUAAUAUUUCGGAAAAAUGGGUUUUUCGAAUUUUUGAAUUGGGUUUGAAAUGUUAAAACCUAAAUCAAAAUACGACUCGAAUAUAUUUUAGAUAUUUAGAGAAAAUUCGGAUUUGGUAAGAUGUUUGAAACAAUUCCGUAAAAUUUGUAACAAAUCUAUACUAUACUAUAAUAAGCCAGGGUAUAAUUUGUAAUCCAAGGUUUUAGUUAUAUUUUUUGGUUUGGUACUCUUUUUUUGGUACUACAAGUCUACAAAUGUGGAGUCCAUUAGUAUUAUAUUGUUGAACAGUUUCAAAUACUAAAAACACUCAUAACAAUAUAUUAUCAUAUAAUCAAACAACAAAAUUAUUAAAAAAUUAUAAUGAUGUUAUAAAUAAAAUUAUAAAUAUACAAUUUUGAAUAUGUUUUUUUUAACAAGAAUAUUAAAAGACAUCUAUACUAUACGUUUGCAAUUCGAUUGAUUAGAUUACUGAAUCUUUCAAAGGUAUUACACGAUCGGCUAUGUUUGGCAAAAAAUUGAAUUUUCUUAUUUUUUUACUGAUGUUAAAAUUUAUAUUAUAAAUAAUAAAUUACAAACUAUAUACCCGUCCGUGCUUCGCACGGGUUAAAGGUUAAUAAAAUUAGUAAAAUUAAGAAUACAAGGACUGAAACACUGUUUGACUUUCCACGAUUAUCGUUAAGCUCAAGAAGACUGACAAUAAGGUGCCAAAAGUGGGCAGGCUUUGCGGGACAAGGCCCAAUAAAGUGGCUCUCAUGCACAGUCUACGCUGUAAAACACCACGUUACUCCAUACACUACAAAACAUACCUCUCUCCCUUGUCCUACAACCCAGGCCAUUGUAGCCAAAUGUUCAUAUUUUACUACCCUGCAACCAUUUAGUCUCGAAUGGGUGGAAGAAUAAUUUCCAGACCACGGAACGAGAUUAAAUAUCAAGUAGGUGACCGAAUUUGUUCAAAAGUCGAAUAAAUUAUUUAUUACAAAUCUGAUUUAAAUUUAUCAUCAUUAAGUUAAUUUGAUCAUUAUGUUAAAAUUGAAGUUGAAAUUAUUCAAAAUUGAAAAAUGACAAUAUAAGAGGGUAGAGAUUGUCUUGGACAUCAAUAUUUUGUUAUUUGGCUCACAUAAUCAUAUGAUAAAAAUCGAUUUUAAUUUUCUCUAUUUUUGAGAUUUUCAAAUAUUUAUUUUAAUUACACAAUCAAUAUUAUUAAAAAAAAGUUGAAAAUAUGUUAUUUACAUAAUGAACCAAAAUGAGUACCAACUUUAUCAUAUGCAUGUUUAUGUGUACAAAAUCAAUAUUUACUUUCAAUAAAAAAUAUUAAAUCUUAUAUCAAAUUAAAACAUAAAAUCCAAACUAUUGUUUGACCUUAUACUAUAUUCAGACACAUAGUUGUAGGCCUGUCUUGUCUGUACAAUUUUAUUUGUGGGCAAGAAAACAAAAUGCAUAGUGCAUAGACACAUGGCUAAAAUCACAAGUUCCAAAUUUCAUACCCAAAUAGCCAGCCAUCAAAUACCAAGUUGGUAAAUAUUGGCAAGAACUCAAUGAAUGGACAAGAUUCUCUCUAAAUUUCAUUCUUUUAGGGCCAAUUCAUUCAUCACCUCAAAGCCAUGCCAUUUAGUAAUGAUCAAAAGCAACAAUAUCACAACUGUACAUUUAAAUAGUGGGGUUUUAAUGAUUUUUUUUGGUCCUUUCUGUAUUUAUAACAAAAAUCUUUCGAACGUUUUUUUAUGACUAACCGACAAAAAUAAAUAUAAAACCGCUCAAAAAGGAUUGUAUCAAAUCCGCGAAAUGGGGAUAAAGUGUUAAGAAAAUUUUAACUUUUACUAACAAAUUGGAGUGUUACAAGUUUUAAGAAAAACAAGAAUUUAAUGAGAUUUUGGUUGUUGGAAACUACUCCCUCCGUCCCUUUUUAUCUGUCCAUUUUGGAAAAAAAAACACAUACCAAGGAAUACUUGAUUGUAUAAACUUUUUCAUUAAAUACCUCUAAUUAAUGUCUUGAAAAUGGUGGAAUAUCCCUACUUUAUGUCUUGAAAACAUGAAUUCAACCAAGUUUUAAAUAAGUCAAGCCUUGAAAAUUGAAAUUAUGGAGAUAUAUUUGAAAAACUAUCAAUAAAUUAGUUUUGAAAGUAUAAAUGGACAGAUAAAUAGGGACAAAUUUUUACUUCCAAAAUGGACAAAUAAAUAGGGACGGAGGGAGUAAUAAAGAAAAAGCAAACUGGUUGUUGCCCCUGACCUGUGACACAUGAUUUGUCCAUGGCAAAAAGGUGAUUCUUGAAACAAGGAAAAAGUAAAAGCUGAAAUGCAAGUAAUUAUAUGAUUGAAAAGAGAAAAAUCUUGUUUAGAUAGCACCAGUCAAAACAGUACCUCAUUAUUCCCAGUUAAAGAUCUUAUAUUCUUGUUAAAGACCAGUCAUUUCUUCACUAAGACCUUGUGGAUUAAGACUUAAAAGGCCACAUUGUGAUGAUAUUUUCAUCUGGGUCAUGCUCAUUUAUUGUCUUGGUUGUACAGUGAACUAAUUCUUUGCAUUUACUCUUGGAAAUGAGGGUAAGUGAAAGAAAACAAGUCAAAUCAGUAAAAUAAGCUUGCAAGUUAGCAACUUUAUCACUAUAUAUAUAUAUAUAUUUUUCUUCUGGGCUUGCAAGAAUUUAACACAGUGAGAAUGAGGAAACAUGGAUGGCAGCUUCCUUACCAUCCCCUCCAGGUACCUUUUUUGUGUACUUGUAUGUGUAUAUAGCUCAGCAUUCUUGAUUUUUUACUGUUUUAUAUCCAUUUUUACAGUGUUGCAUUUUGAGUUGUUACUGUGUGUGUAUGUGCAGGUUGUUGCUGUUGCUGUAUUCUUGGCAUUGGGAUUUGCUUUCUAUGUGUUCUUUGCCCCUUUUGUUGGGAAGCAAUUGUAUCAGUAUAUUGUGAUAGGGAUCUACACUCCUUUGGUAAGCCUUUUGUGUUCUUCAUCUCUUUUUACUUUUGUACUAUAUGCUGCUAGUACAUUUGUUUUCUUUUGAUGGUAGAAGAUCUGGAUCCAUGCUUUUGUGUUGGUACUCAUAAAGCUGUUCUUUAAUUCUGUAUUUAUGUGUUUCUACUAAGUAGAACAUGAUUAAUGUGUACUUGUUAGGUUAGUUAAAUUGGCCUGUUUAUAAUUUAGCUUUUGAUAGUAUCGUGGUAGGCACUAAUACUACCAUUCCAAGAAAGUGUCAAAAUGUCUUCCCAAUCUAUGAAGUAAUAGAAUGUGGGAAUGAUUUGUAGCGCGAAUGAGUUGAAACAUUUAUCUCCUCCCGUCCUACCCGGAAAAUGAUAAGUUAUUAUGUAGUAUAUCACUUGCUUCCCAUUAGGUUGGAAGUUGGAAGAAUAACUUUAUGCAGGAUUAAAAUCAACAAUUGUGAAGAAAACUAACGGUGGAAGAGGAAAAAGAAUGAAAAAAGGCAAAAUUUGAAUGAUAAGGUUUGUGAAUAUUAUGUGUGGAAGGUAGGAACGAGCCUUUGUCUAUAAGAUGUAUAAAAGAAAAUGAAAUUUAUCAAUAAAUGCCCACAAAAUAGUAUUAACUUGGUUAACAAACAAAGAGUUAGAACCCGAGGGACCAGUUAUAUAUGCUUGUAAUUUGCAUUUUAAACGUAUGCCUUUGUUCAUGACCCCAGGUAGCCCGCGUAAGUUUGUGCAGUCUCACUUACAACCCCGCCAACUAUGUUCUAUGUAAUAUUGUUUCAAUGUUAUAAGUGAUGUGACAUUACUCCUAUUCCAGAUUAUAUGCGCCUUUGGACUCUAUAUAUGGUGUGCAGCAGCUGAUCCUGCUGAUCCAGGAGUUUUUAAGUCCAAAAAGUAUAUCAACAUUCCAGAGCACAAAAAGCAUGAUCGGCUCCACGAAUCUAAACUUGGUGGCGAUUCAACUUCCUCAAUACAUGAUGCAAAUGCUGCAACGGUUGGAGUAAAACCCUUGAACAAAGACAUGAAAGACAUGGAUACAGCAACAGAAGACCGUGCAACUGAGAUCGAAGAAAUUGGUACCGCGUCUCAACAAUCAUUCUGUUUCAAAGUUCUGUUGGCUUUGUUGACUCCUUGUGCCUAUGUGUGCAACUGCUCAAAUUCACAUGAUGAAUCUUCUGGACAACAGGCUAGUGAAGAUGGCAUGUUCUAUUGCAGUCUGUGUGAAGUAGAGGUUUGUAUGAUGUCACAUUCUUUAAGUCUGUUUUUUAAGAUGUUUUAUGGAUUUGAAGCAAUAAUAGAUACUAGACUGCUGAACUCUUUUUUCCAUAGAGGCAUUUAAAGAAGCUUUGAAAUGCAAAAUAUAUAAAAUAAGAAAAGAAAAUAUAAUGUUAGCUUGAGAAUUUGUGAGAAUAAAAAAAAGGACACGGUUUGCAAAAUCCGAGAAGUUGUACAAUCAAGUCUAAAAAGAGAAACUAUUUCUUCUUGCAAAUUCAUUCGUGUAACAAAAAUUACUUUGAACAAGAAUGAUUUGGAUUCUCUUGGGUAGCCUCAAACUUCCAUUCCUGCCACUCACAUCAUACUCUCAUAUGAUCAACUGCUUGCAGGUUUUCAAGUACAGCAAACAUUGUAGAGUUUGCGACAAAUGUGUGGACCGAUUUGAUCACCACUGCAGGGUAACUGAGUAUUUUUAAUAAAGAAUUUUCUUUUAAUUUGUUGAGACAUCUAUUUAACUUUAAAUUCUGGAUUUUUGACAGUGGCUCAACAACUGUAUAGGAAAAAGAAACUAUCGCAAGUUUUUCUCACUCAUGGUCUCUGCUCUUCUGCUGGUAAGGACUACUGUCCAAAUGCCAAAUCUGUUAGAGCACUAACAGUAGUCAGCUACAUACAUUUGCUAAAUGAUUCUGGAAUUUUGCAUCAAAAACUUCAUGUUGCUUAUAUGCCAACAAACCAGCACAUACUUUUACGCAGAACAAUGUUAAGUAUACUUGCGAGUAUCAACUGACAAUUUUAAAUGCAGAUGAACAAUGUUCAGCGCAUUUUUAAGUAUUCAAAAUAAGAGCAGAAAUUAGUUACACUUCCAUUGCUUCAACAUGCUUCUUCAAUAUACCCUAUGCUCCAAAUUAUUCUUUGACAUACUUCUGUGGCCACUUUUCCCCAAAGUCUGCAACUGCGAAACCUUCUCUUUAUAAAACUAUUACUAAUUUCCCUAAUAAGAUUCAAAAUUAUUAGCUACUCCGUAUUAUUUGUGGGUUCCUGAACUUUAAGCAUUACUUACAGACUAUAAAUGAAUACACUGCGAAACAAUAUAAUCCUUCCAUAAGCUAAUAGACUAAUAUUAAGCUUUAUGAAGCAUCAUUCAUUUUAAAUUAGUGACAGUGAUGUAAAUGUUGUGCACCUUGAACUUGAGAUUGCAGCUUAUACUUCAGUGGUCAACUGGAAUUCUGGUACUAAUUCGCUGCUUCCUUGAGCACAAGAAAUUCUCUGUAGAUAUCGCCACCAAUCUAGGAAGCAGUUUCUCUAUUGCGCCUUAUGUUAUUGUGGUGGUGAGAAUCAUUUACAUUUUCUUCUCUUAGAUUAUUUUUUUUGUUCUUUUUCUCUUUAUAGAGUUCGAUUGUAGUCCAGAGAUAUGCACAUUAAAAGAUUCUUUUGGCUCAAUUUAUGUGAGAUUACUUUUAUACCUACUUUUAUUAACUAAAUUUUCUAAAUGAUAGGCAAUAUGCACCAUUUUGGCAAUGGUUGCUACUCUGCCGGUUGUGCAGCUGUUUUUCUUUCACAUUCUUCUCAUAAAGAAGGUAAGUGUUGUUUGGGUUGUUAAAUAGUCUAACUUUAAUCUAUGUUAUCUUAUACCAGAUCCCCCGGCCUUUGUCAGUCUUAUGAACACAUUUUUGGCUGACAUUCAUCGCAAUUAAUAAACAGUUAUUAAUGUUGUAUGUUAAAGGGAUAAUGAAAACUUCAAAAUUAUACUUAAACCACUAGAUUUCUUACAGGCUAAGAAAGCUUUGUAACCACAUAUAAUGACUUGCUGUCUGAUUCUUGGCUAACAGGGUAUUAGCACAUAUGAUUACAUUAUAGCUUUGAGAGAGCAAGAACAAGGAGUUGGAGGUCAACAAAGUCCUCAGAUGUCACAAGCCAGCUCCCUCACAGGAUUAAGCAGUGCGAGUUCCUUUAGAUCCUUUCAACGGGGAGCCUGGUGUACACCACCACCACUAUUUGUCGAAGAUCAGGUAUGAGAUCAUAACCUAUCUACCCGAGAACCAACUGUUGACAUGCCUUCCUCUUGUAAAAGAAAUCUUGUCAAUAUAUAGUAAAUUGUGGAUAAUGAAGAUUUCAAAAGGAUGUCUAAUGCUUGCUGCAAACCCUUCAAUUUUGCCAACAUUCCUUCUAACCUAAAAUACUUGUAGCUUUGUCAUCCACGGCCAUUUCCGCAGGUCUGUCGGAAAGUUAUUCUCUUCAGUCCACCCUAUAACUUUGGGCACAAACUCUGCAUGGUAGCAAUUAAUCCCAAGUUACUCUUAUGUUGAACUUUUUGUUUUUCUAACUUGUUGUUCCGCAUAUUCUGAAUCACAGCAAAACCUUUGUUUGUCCAGCUUUAGCAAACCUUAACGAGAUCUCGGACCCUACAGUCGUUGGUAAGACCAAGUCGAUUGAAAUGUAUUUAGCAUAAAUAGCUAAGAGCUUAAGACCCUCCUAUUCAGGAAAAAAAGAAUCAAACCCUCCUGCCAAGUCCAACAAUAUAGAGAAUUUUGCAAGCUAGUUGUACUAUAGAAUAGAGCAGUUAUUUCUUCUUCACCUUUUACUAUGAGAUUACUAUAGUCAAGCUGGUAUUCCCCGAUUUUCCUAUAAAUUCUUCUGUGACCUGUCAAGAUGAUGAGAAGCAUCAGCCUGCCUCGGAUGUUUUAUUACUGCAUAAGAUUAGAGAAUUAUUUAACUGCCAUCAUAAGGACGAUUUUGAUUAAGAAGUGAUGAACAUGAUCAUGCAUUCACAUCAUUGAACUUACACUGUGGAGGUUUGUGUUUAGUAAUUAUGAUUCCCUGUUUUUCUUUUUAUAGUUUGAUGUAGUUCCUUCCGACACGAGAUCUGUAAGUUCCUUAGGAAAGAAGACAACCGGAGAAGAGAUGAAGAAAAGGAGUACUGCGCCUGUAAAGAUAAGCCCAUGGGCAUUAGCUCGCUUGAAUGCAGAAGAUGUUUCAAGGGCUGCUGCAGAGGCAAGAAGAAAAUCUAAAAUCCUCCAGCCUGUCACUAGAAGAGACGCCCCUUUCAGGCUCGACAGGGAUAACAGCUUUGGAAGCAGCGACCGCCACAUGUAUGGAAGACAGGAUUACAACAGGAAACGAGGUAGUACCCGAGUCCGACUCCCUGCAGAGUUUCCCAUAGAAACCUUGCCCAAACUCUCAACCGAUACUGCUGAAAGCAACAUUACUGAGACAUCCACAAGUUUGGCUCCUCUUCAGCAUGAAGCACUGAGUUCUUUCAGAACAGGCCUAGCAAUGUCAAAUGCCUCUGGAGUUGUUGCUUCUUCCCCUGAGAGCAGUUUAGAUUCGCCAGAUCUUCAUCCAUUUGGAAUUUCAUCUUCAGGACUUGACGAGGCAAGGAGACUAACAGGACCAUCAUCUACAGCUCUAGCUCAGCAAGAAUUCCCCCUAUCGCGAUCAGCUUCAGCUAGUGAUGGAUACGAUGCAUCCGGGGGAGAAGACAGUGACCGUGUUCCUUCCAGGACUGCACAAAGGCCGACAAACUGGAGCAACAUUCUCUUUGACUCCAUUCAGGACGAGAGGAUUGCUAGAGUCAAGGCACCAGGUUCAUCUGGCUACGGUAGCAGCAGAAAGCUCUGAACAUGGCAGGUUCAUUCAAAACUAGAGUCUCUUUGUUCCAGAAAAUCUUAUAUUUCUUUUCAUGUCUUCAUUUCUUCACCAUGACAAAAUCCGAAAAUUUCAUUAGCCAUCUUCAGCUGUCGGAACUUAAUGACAAAGGCCAUAGACUUUGUCGGGAGCAAACAUUAUUUUGUUUAUGGUUACCAUCACUAUAUUGAUCAAACCUGAUAACUUAAUUCAAAAACUGAACUUUUUUAAAAAUGAUUACAUUAUGGGAGAAUAUAAGAAAACUUUUCUCCGUCAACUGGUAAAUCAACAGGUUUUAUUACGGGACAGCUCAUGAUGUUCUUAUCAAUUUAUUACCGGCUUUGUAUCUAGCAUUGGCUAAACGUCAUACAAUAACUGCACUAGCUCUAUCGUAUGUUUUUUUUUCUAAAUUUUACAAAAUUAUAGAAGUGUCCUUCCAAAAUUUAAAAAAUAUAUAGGCGUUUUUCAAAAAUUUGCUUGGUGCCCCCCUAAAAUUUCAUUUCUAGAUCCGCCCUUGCCAGAGACUCAAUGUGCAUAGUUUUCCGAUAAAAUGACCUUCUUGCAAGUGAACUUGUACUUAAACUUUUAUUUGGGUUAACAAGCCGGGAAAACUUUCGAAUAUAUAUUAUUGUACUAUAAAUUAGUAAAUUACUAUGGAUGAUAACAUUGAAUUUAAAAAUAUUUUCACUAUUGUUCAAACGCCGAUAAACUACCUUUUUGCUGGUGGACUUUAGUUGGGUUGGGCUAUACCAAACAAAAGCCUAGUUGUAAUAACUGCACAAGAUCAAUGUAUCGGGCUUCGGAUCGGACCAUAUUCUGCGAUUGUGAUUCUAAUUAAUUUCGACAAUUAGCUUUAUGGCAGCAUCAUAGUUAUUUGAAAAUUGUAUUUUAAGAAAAAGAGUAUCUCUAUCUUUUUUAUUCUCGUGUGAUUAAUUUAGUUAUAUACUCCCUCCGUCUUAAUUUAUAAGUCCAUUUUGCUUUUCCAAGAGUCAAAUUGAUUAAUUUUUGACUAACUAUUAAAAAUAUAUAUAUUUGUUGUUUCACAACAUAAAAAUUACAUAUCAAAAUAGACUUGAUUUACCUAUUGAUGAUAUUCUUUUAUUUUUUUUUCAAUUAUAUAAUAUCUAUAAAUUUCAGCCAAAAGCAUACUCAAUUCGACUAAUCAAAAGUGAAAAAGGACUUAUAUAUUGAGGCAUGGGGAGUAUCUUAAAAUCCCGGACAAGACUUAAGUUCUGUAUCGUAUUAUUGUUGCAGACAGUCAUUAUAGUUUUUGGAAAAAGCAGCGGUAAAAAAGCAAUUUUUCCGAGUAGCAAUUUUUUUAAGUUGGUUCAAAAGUCGGAGAAAAAAAUCUUUUUCAAUUUUUUACGGAAACCUGUCAUAUAUUUUACUAUCAAAUUUCACCAAAAAUAUUUUGUUUUUGAUUUUAUGAUUCAAAAUAUACAAAUAUCAACAAAAAUUACUAAAUUAAUAUUUCUCCAACAACAUUUUUUUAAUAUUAUUUUUUUUAAAAACACAACAAUUUUUAACAAUACUCCAAAACAAAUUGGUAGUCUGCCGAAUAUCUUUCUCGUAUCGAUAAUUCAUAAUAGAGGUAGGGAGUUGAACUCACACGAAGCAAAGCAUAGUGUGGCUACUACAACAUAUAAUAAUGAAGCGAGAUUGAGAUUGGUACCAGAGGGAAUUAUUUGUGACCCAAAAAUCUGAAAAUCUGAGAGAGGUGAGGUGAGGUGAUGGGAUAAGAUGACAAAACUGUGCAACUCUCAGUCGAAGAAUACACGACACUUGAAUUAAAGCUGCCUCUUCACUUGGAUUUUGGAGGAGCUGGACAGCUCACUAGCAUAUGCAAACGUUAAUAAAAACAAAGGCUACAUGCUCUCUCUUUCCCAUUUUGUCUUGUUUUCUGUUGUCUUGUGUUGCUUGAUGGACAUCUCAAUCGCUUCACUUUUGGGAUUCACUAAAUUUGUUCCGUAUUUUUUCUUUGUAUUUUGCGGAAUGUGCGUGGAGAUCGGUGGUUAUUCGGAGUCGUUAGUGAAAAAAUCUCGAACCGGAUCGUGUUACGUCAGUAGCGGAGUCAGAAAAAAUGAUAUUGUGUGAAGGCUAAUUAUGUUCGAAAUAUAUGAGAUAAUAUAUUCUUAUGAUGUUUUUGCUUUAAUACGGAAUAUUUGUAUCGAACACUAAAGGAUUUUUGAGUGUCGACCUUCAUCAUCACUUUUUUUUAGAAAAAAGACCCCAAAUAUCACUUUCAGAGAAAAUGACAUAAAUUACCAUAAGCGUUAGCCCUAUUUUGCUUCAAAAUACUAGAUGGUCUAGCGUUUUGUAAGACCAUAUGCUAUUUUCAUAUCACGUUUCAACUCCAAAAUAUCAGAUCAUCUAGCGUUUUAUAAUCAUUCUAAGACUUAAAAGCAACGUGAUAUAGUGUGUAUCUCCAAAAUCAUAAUGCUAGAUAAUCUAGCGUUAAUAAAUGAUAUUUUGGAUAAUUUUUCAAAAUUUUUGUAACAUAUGAGGCUUUUCUCGCAUUUUUUUAAAGUUCCGGUGGGAGUUUCAGUCUCGACUAGACCCUCUAUAAAUCCGACACUAAGUGUUUGCUAGAUGUAAUACUACUGUGGGCACAUGCUACACGCAGAAUUUUAUAAGUUUGACUCAUUUCUAUUGGUUCCCAUAUCUUAAUAAUGAUAGAUCCCCUCUAUAUACAACCACAACGCCAAUCAAAAUCUUGCAAACAUGUAAAAUUCCAAACCCUAUAUUCAAAUAUAAAGUGAAGACACUAUAUUUGUCCUAGUCAACUCAAUUUUACAACAGUAGCUCGAACUCGGAACGGGAAAAAAAGUUUUCCGGGCUGAUGUUCUCAAGUAAAUAUGUAAAAAUGCAACUCCACCGUAUAUUUUGUCACCCUGCACUUUAUUAUUGCUCCCUUUCCCUCUAUCAUAGAUUCUCUCAAUGACUUUUGAUUGAAUAAAAUGAUAGGAGCUACAAGUUAAAAUUAGAAUUGUCUUUUAUUAGUUAGAAAAAGAAAAGAAAAGCAAGAAUGGACCUCGUGAAUCUUAUAGUAAUUUUGAGCAAACUUUUCUAGUUCCCCACUCACAUGAUCAAUAUCAGAGACCCGUGCACAAUUUUUGGAUUAUUUUGUUUAUAAUUUUGUGAAAAUAUAAGCAGAUGGAAGAGUUGUUGAGUAUUUUUAAAGCCAAGAAUUGAGGACAAAAAGUGGAAAUGCCUGAGGUUUGGACCAGGGAUGGGUGUGGUCUCAAUUUCGGAUUACAUGUGGUCUUCAUACCGACAAAUGGGUCGAUUUUGGGUCAAAGAAUAAAAUUGAAAUUCCAUACAUUUAAGAAUAAAAUUCUGGUUUCGAAUCAAUUUCAGGUUAACCAGAUGAAUGUCGGGCCACUUUCGAGUUUUGUCUCAAUAAAUAAAAUUGCAGGUUCGGGUCGUGUCGGAUAUUGACAACUUCCGUGGUGCUUAGAGGUAGGGGCAGGGGCGGACCCAGGAUUCUGAAUCCACCUGGGCUGGAAUUUUUUUUUUUCCGCACAUUUAAUAAAACGACAACUAAUCAAACUAGCAUAUUUGAAAGAUGGGUCCAGGUCCCCAGUAUAUACACACUGCGAGCCGUUGGAUGAGUUCAGCGACGAUCAAAAUUAAAAAAAAAAAUUGUACGUCCAGCGUUUUUUAAGCGUUGUGUGCCUCUCGUCCAACUAUACUAUUUUAAGCGCUAGACAGGUAAAUUGUUUCUCGAAGCACUGAUAGUUUUAAGUUUAAAGACUACUGCUAGGUAUAACAUACCAGAAUUAAUUUACCAUGCAUAUUUUUCAAUAAGUAGAAUUAGAAUAAGUAAUAUAUUUUUAAAUAAUAAAAUAUUAUAAUUAAUUAGAAUUAUAUAUAUAUAUAUUAUUCAAUUGAUUUUUAAAAAAAAAUAUUUAUGAGAUCUUUUAAAACAAUGUUAACAAUGCAGUACAAGAAAUAAUGUUAACAAUAUAUUUUUACUAAUAUAUUAUUUUUAAUAUAUCAAGAUUAAUAUAUUAAAACAAUAAUAUUAUAUUAGAUAUAUUUAGAAAAAUAUAUUUUUCAAAAUAAAUCUAAUUGUUAAUAUAUUACUUUUGAAAAUUUUAAAUCUUAUCUAAUAUUAUUUGUGUAUAUAUUAUAUUUUAUACAAGUUAAUACUUUAAUAAAAAGAGAGAAAGCUCUACUGGACCGGAGAGGCGGAGCAGCAGGGAGUGGACACGCCGACGCAAGUCUAACAGCCAACAGGGGAAGGGAGUACGUUUAUUUGAUAAAAAGCUUUGAAUUUUUCUUAAUUAGAAUAGCGGGCUUUCAGGUAAAUGGGCUGUGCAGAUAAAUUAGAAAAAGACCGGGCUGUGUAUUAAAAAAUAUAAUAGGGCUGAGUUAGCCCAGAUAAAUUAGAAAAAGACCGGACUGUGUAUUAAAAAAUAUAAUAGGGCUGAGUUUAUUUUUUACCCGGGCUGGACUAAUGGAUACAUAUAAAUGUUAAGUGGGCUGGUGGAAUUUGACCCGGGCUGGAGCCAACCCGAGCCCAGCCCACGGUCCGCCCCUGGGUAGGGGCCUGGGGGUUGUUUAUCUCAUAACCUAUUUGCUGCCACUCUUUGUGUCCCCUUCCUUCCCGUGUUGUACUAAACUGCAGCAGGUGUUGUACUAAUUUCUUUUGCACACAACAUUGCUGAAUACUCCAUAAAAUUAAAGCCUGUCAUCCAUUUCAUCUUCUGUGCAUUUUCAGAUAAAGAGGACACAGAGAGAGGGAGAGAGACUGGAGAGAGAGAGAGAGAGAGAGAGAGGUUCAUUUAUUGAGCAGAGAGUAUGGAUGGAGAGGGAUGUGUGAAGAGACAAAAGGGGAAGUCGAAAGUGAGAUAUCUCAGUGCCCCUUUACUUCAAUUCUUGCCUUUCUUUUGUUCUCUUUUCUCCCUUUCCCUCCCUCAGUACAAUUUGCACUGGGACAUACUCCAAUAUCAUUAAAAUCAUAUCCGUCUCAGUUCCACAACAGACGUAUUUUACAGCAUACGUUAUAAUACCGUGUUACUCAUCUAAGCUCGGUAUAUAUGCUGCAACAUACGUUUACGGCUCGUAUUUCCAUAUUUAUAAUAUUAGAGUACAAGGGCAGUGAUGCAACCAGUGGAUCAUAAUUCAUAGGAGUGUACCACUAAAUUGUAAUGUAGGUCCAGUGGAUAAUUAAGAUGAUUUAGUACAAGGAGCUGAUAGCAACAUUUAUGCAUGCAUCUCUAGGACUGUAUCUAAUAUCUUUCCUUUUCUUCUGCUAAAGGCUCUGCAUUUCUUCACGCUCUCUGACUCUUACGUUGCAUGCAUGGCAAAAUUUUAAGUGCUAGCUGCUGACCUGCUGUAUUAUUGCACCCUCAGGCUCACUCCAUACAAUGUAGUAGACUGGUAGUUUUAUUAUACUGUACACACUUUAAUACAAAGACAAGACGACUUGUCUGGAACAUACGAAUCAUAGUAGCAUACAUCCAGCAGAAAAAAGCGUUGGAAUGAUAAAUUGAUCGUGAGGUAAUUUUCUGCUGAAUGAUAUAAUGGUGUAGCAGUAGCACCUCUCUGUAUAUAGAUAAAAACUUAAGAUUAAGCCGCCUAAUACCUUUUUUUCCUCUAAACGAGAACAUUUGAAUGAUAGUAGGAUACAUUCGGCGGAAAAAAAACGCUGGAUGUGAAAAAUCAUAAAAUGAGUUAAUUUUUCGCUGAAGAAUUAAACUGUCCGACUUUUUUUUUGAUUGAACAUAUGCUACUAAUAUACGUAUAGGACCGACCCUAUGGUCAUAUACCCCAGCAUUCUAGACUUCUGGUAUCUUUUAUGCUGCAAGAAUUGACCAUUCAUGCUUUACCAGACAGUGAGACACUAACAAUACCAUACACUAUUUUGUCUCUUGAUCUACACUUUUCCUUUAAUCCCUUGCAACUGUAAACAAAUCUUUUUUGUACAAUGCAAUAAAUACUCUAUCUAUAGUACAAGCCUAUAGCAUCUCUUCUUUUUUGGCCAAAGUUGCAGCCUACAUCUUAUGUAGCCUUUUGUAUAUAUAUACAUGAUGGAAUUGACAUUACAAUAAUAUAGCCUGUUCAACAAACAUGAAGUUGACAAAGCUUGUAACUAACAUAAUUACAUAACAACCCCAUCAAUGAUCUCUGCAUUUUUUUAUACAAUUAAAUACAUUCAAACUCCCGACAAGCAGAAUGCGAGAGAUACCAUCUAACACACUCACAAUCCCGUCUUUAACUAACAAAGUUCGAACUCUCAACCUCUCACAAUAUCGUCUUUAACAAAGUUCGAACUCCCGACCUUCGAUGAAUGGAGACAAGCAAAAUGUGAGAGAUAUCAUCUAACACACUUACAAUCCCGUCUUUAACCAAGUUCGAACUCUAGACCUCGAAUAAAUGAAGAACAUGAGAGAUAUCAUCUAACACCCUCACAAACCGUCUUUAACAAAGUUUGAACUCUCGACCUCUGAUAAAUGGAGCCAGUGAUGAACGCAUCAAGGGAGGUAACACAUGUACUUGAAUUCAAUGGGAAACUGAAAAUUUCAAAAAAUAUCAAGAACAUCACAAACAUUCUUCAAUACUGUAAUAUAACUUGUGAUCAUGAAAUAUCAUACUAGUGAAACUGCAUAGAUUGAGCCCCUGAAAUGGCUUAUUGAACAUACUGAAGCCUAGAUCAAUGUUAAACUAGAAUAUGCACAACUGGCAUUGAGAAUUAUGUACAUGCAACUGCUAGAAUUAUACAUAUCAGCAGUAAAACAUGAGAUUCUUAACAUUUUCACUAAGAUUAGGAAGAGGGGCUGCCUUUGGCGGGGCAGCUCGGGAUAUGGUGGUGCUGUGUCUGUUAGAAAUAGUUGAGUCGAAACGUUCAAGGUAUAAUCUGCCUCUGUAUGCCGCGAGGUGGGCGUAGUAAGCUGGUGGAACCAAGGAUACUGGUUUAGUACACCUCACAAAUGUGUAGCAAAGAUUGUAAACCAACUUCUGGAAUUCAUCAGAAGUGAAACGAUUUUCGUCCCACAAGACAUGAUAAUGCGUUGGUCGGCUCGUUCCCUUGACGCCCCAAUGACUACAAAGAUAGAAAUCGAAUUCCUUAGGGUGAGUGAUAACAGUGUCUACUACGGUACCUGGAGGAACAUUUUCAUCAAUGGACUGAUUUCGGGUGGAAGGAAUGGUAUCGUUUGGAAACAACCUUGUAUGAUGCCUUUUUUGGACUACGGCGAAGGUAAUGGGAGGUUUAUAAUUUGGAAAUCUUGAACAAGCCAGUUUGAUUGCUUGUAACUCUUCUUCGAGCACUUUGUAGAAUUGGGUUUCACUUACUCCAUCUCGGAAAAAAAUUAUUCUUUUUGGUAGUUCAGAUAGUCUGCAGCGGAAAUCAUCUAGUAUCUCCCCCACCAUUGCAGCAAGAUCAUGGAUGAUCUCCUGACGAUGAGUUUGAGACCUCAUUCUUGAGACAUACUUGUUUGCUGCUGGCCAGUUGACACUACCCACCACAGCUGCAAUUGAGGGGCUGGAGUCGUCUAGCGGGUGAGGAUGCGUUACAUCAGCACCCAUAAAGAUCACCGGUUCAUCAAGGCUAAAAAGCUGGGGAAUUUGAGAUGGUAGUGAAUUGAACAAAGCAACAGUGCAUCCCCCAACUUUGGCAUUGAUCUUGAGGGCCAGAUUUGCAAGAAACUGUGAACUUAACUUAGCAAGAUUUGAGUACAAGCAGCAUUGACUGACAACCCCGACACUUGUCUCAGCAAUACGCUUUAAAUCUCCAUAUCCUCUGUGCUUCUUCUCCAUUACACAAAUAAGUAGCUGGAGACUGUUGGAUGCAGCUCUGUGGAUUGACUUAAGUUUUGAUUCCAAAAUAUUAACAUUGUUGAGCACGUGCAUUGGUUCAAACUGGGGGCUAAUAACUGUGUUCUUGUUGAGAAAAAUCCCCAAUUGCUCACACCUUUGAGUUAGCUGAUUUAUAAAUUUUGGAAUGUUGGCCUUCUGAUCAGCGGUUCCACCAAAACUUAUCAAUGCCCACCUCCCAAUUCGAGUGCCUUCGAAGACAUGGCUAUCCAUUAGGUUCCAAUGGCGAUCACGACGAGUAGGAGUUAAAUCUCUGACAUGGCCUCCAUCACCAAGUUUGAGUUUAGGAGGCUGCAAAAUUCUUCCACUCAAGCGUGUCAUUUCUGUAGAAACUUGAAGAUCAAAUUCUUUUGCCUGAUUGCCACUGUCAAUAAAACAAAAAUCAAGUCCAAGAACAAUAAAUGAUAUUUCAGAGCAUAACAAGGUCGUUACCGACAAUAAAAUAGAAUUUGUCAUGUACCUUGUUGGCCCAACUGGUCCUGUCAUUACUUCGUCUAUAAUUGCCUUUCUUUCUUUUGGUCUUUGGCAACUCAUCUUAAGUAACUUUGCCGUUUGAUCAUCAGAGAGCUUCCCCAGAAACUUCUGUCCUUCACAAACCAUACACAGUUCCAUUGGUAGAUAACAUGGUUUGCUCCUACUAAUUUGCAGGCAAGGCAGGUUUCUGAAUUGUAUAUCAUAAUUGUACUGAUCUUUGAAGUAGUUUACUACCCUCAGAAUUUUCCCAUCCCUAUCUGGAAACCAGAGGUUCUCUGUAGUAUCUUUGGUUAAGCCAAAUACUCGAUAUCUCUGGACAGUUUCACGGUGGCAAACAAAGAUUCUUAUGUUUCUUAAAUCUUUCUCCACAUCCUUCUUCUCUUCUUCUGUCAAACCUCUUGUCUUUCUUUGAGAAAGAUCAGAUAGAGACUCCAGACGCUUUUGCAAGUAAGGGAUCACACCAAUACUCUCAUGGAAUGCAGUCACAGAAAAAUCCAAAUUGAGAGCCAGUCCUUGUUGGGUUGGUCUGAGACUUUGAAAGAACCCUCUUAAUCCAAUAGCUCCUCCACCCAAAUCUGUAGUUCCUCCCAUUGAAUUCGAGUAAAGUGAUCGCCCCACGGGUAUACAUUUCUCUGUUGAACUUUCGCGCAACACGACAUCUAAGGCAUGCAGAUAAUCCUGGGGAAUAGGGACCCAGUCAUCUCCUUCCUUACUCAAGUACUUAGUCAAAGCUUUUCCGUCAAGGUUUGAUACAAGCUUAAUGUUAAUCCUAAAAAGCUUGUUCUUUUGUUUUAUGUCGCCAUUCUCUCCACCCAGCUUGCCAGUUGUGAUAGGGAGGCCUAUGUAGAAUUCAAGCUUGUUAGCUUGGAAUUCCAGUGGGCUAUAUAGAUUUUUUCGUCCAUCAUAAGCUGGACGAGCACCUGAGAGCAAAUUUAAGUUGUCCUCCACGAGUUUUUGUUUAAGCAAUCGAGCAACAUCCUUUGAGGGACUUGGAGAGAUUUCAACAUCAUACUGAAAAAUACGCUGUAAAGGGUCAAAUUUGACUAGAAAAUGGUUGGCCAGAAGAGAUAUUACUGGCCCUUCUACACCACCGCAAUCUGGUCUCCUUGCCACCACUAAAGUUUGUGGUAAAACAAUUGCAACUCUCCUCCCAUCUUUCUUUCUCCUUGGGGGUAAUAAAGAUUGUUGGUCAAGCGCCGCAGGAGCUGAUUAACAAAAAACAAAAACUAUAAUUCAAUUACAGUAAUCAAAACAUAUACAUCGCAGAGGACUCAUUAGUCAUGGCUUUGAUUCCUCACUCUCCUCACAUAAAAUCAAAUAUAUCAAAAAUAAAACACCAGUGAUUCAUCAAAGAUCACACUACAUAAUGCCCGAAAAGUCGAAAACCCUGUAACAGAAAUGAUACUAGUAUCACCAAAACUUGAGUAUCUUAAAUAAGUAAUUUGGUAGGAAUCAACAGAAACAAGUUCUUUCUAUAUGUAAUAGAACAAACACUUGAAUACAUGAAAUAGUACACUAACAAUUUUCUAAUACUAGAAACACUAAAAAUUAAAAAACACCAAUGUCAUUGACAAUUCAAAGCAUACUUACAUUUGAAAGGUUACUAUUUCUCUAUAGUUUCCUAUGAAAUUUUCCACCAUGUAACACACAUAUUACUAUCAAGAUAAGAUCUUUAUAUUGUAAGAAAGGUGUCACAUUCUUGAUUAAACCUAAACUAGCAGACUAAGCAUGCAUCAAUACAAAAGCUUAAAGAUUCAAAACAAUUAAAGCUUCAAACUUUAUGAACAAAAGGGCUUGAAAAUCCAAACUUUACCAUUUGUAAGAGCCAAAACAGAAGCCUUGUUCUCAGAAGAAGUGGCCAAAGGAGGGGUAGCAUUAGAAAACAAAGGUUUUUGCAAAUGGGGUUUUGUUGAGAAGUGUUGAUAGUGUGACAAAAGUGGUGGAGGGGCUAUUUGAAAAGGUAUAGUUUGAGGUAGGGGAAGAAGAGCAGGGUAGUUUUGGUACUGAUUUUGGUAGUAAAACCCAUUAAACCUUGUGGUAUUUGAGUGGUGAUGAUGAUAUAACUGGUGAUGAUAGUGGUACUGAUAGUUGUGAGGGUUGCAAUUUUUGGCUCUAAAGCUUCUUGUUUGAGGUUUGCAUUUCUUGGUUGUUUUUGAGUCUUCUGAUUCUUCCAUGACUUAAUUGGGAGACAAACAAAGCAAAUGGUGAAAAGGGUUUGUUUGCAUGAGAGAAAAUAGUGAGCAGGUGAAGAUGUGUGUGUGUAUUGUGUGCUUAUAUAUCAGAAGCAACUGUAGUUAGUGGAGAGAGAGAUAUGAGAGAGAGUGAGGAGAGAGGGAGAGAGAGAGAGAG